GGAAGUAUCUUCGUUAAACUAUUUGAUAAAGCACUAUUAUUAAAUCAAUAUUUUACACAGCACUAACACCGCAUUCCUGCUACAUUAGACUGUGCACCCAACAUGAAAACCUGGAUUGUAAUCCUUCCUUAGUUACCAUUGCCACACAUCAAACAUGGCCUCGUGGAUGCCUGACGCAUGCGCAAAAGACCUGUCCAUACUGCGCAUGUGCCAAGUGGUCUUCCCCUUCGGAACGCAUGCGCCUUGCGUGUUACGUCAUCCCGUACUGCUCGUUACAGGUGACCGGCUGGUUUCGUGCUCGCCUCAGUCACCAUCCUUAUGGCAUAAUAGGUGAUUAGAUUUUCGUUGCGCACAGUUUCUUCCAUCCAGGAAUGGGUUAGCGGUGAUUAUAAAAACCUCACAGAUCGGCCAGUCAGCCUUCAGUGCUCACUUAUGUAUGAUAUUUCCACCGAAUCAAACAGGUGGCUCCGUGGCGCAAUGGAUAGCGCAUUGGACUUCUAGCGGAGGAAGGUAUUCAAAGGUUCCGGGUUCGAGUCCCGGCGGAGUCGUGGGGUUCUUUUUAUUUAUUAGGAGAUAGGGGAAAAACUAUGGAGAACUGUGCUUUUAUUUGUGAACAUAAUUAUUACAAUGUGUGUAAAUAAAAUUGUGCAUAUGAAAAGCAUG